rnacentral:lncRNA from 1 species
CUUAUGCUAAGAUUUUGGAAUAUUAUUUCCAGGUGCAGUUUGGCACUGAAACAAGCUGCAGGUUUAUAAGUGAACGCAGCAUAGUUUAAGAAAACCCUGUAUGAUCAACCCGUAGUGUGUUGUUCCAGCAGCCAGGGCGAAGCUUCUGGAAGCCCGUCCGCACUGGUUCGCAGCAAACAGGCUCCCUCUCUGAAAGAACUGGGGUGCUAUAAAGAAAUAGAAGCAAAAUUCUACAGACAAAACUGACAAUAUCCCUGUAGGCAAGCUCACUCAUAGAACUGUUGGAAACUGGCGAGCAUUCAAGGAAAAUAUCUUCAUCAUUACAUGCUUCUCACUCCAUUAUAUAUUAAUUAGAGAAGAUUUUGGCUUUUACAAUUAGUUUGCCCCC